rnacentral:rRNA from 1 species
UACGUAGGGUGCAAGCGUUGUCCGGAAUUAUUGGGCGUAAAGAGCUCGUAGGCGGCUUGUCGCGUCGGCUGUGAAAACCUGGGGCUCAACCCCGGGCCUGCAGCCGAUACGGGCAAGCGUAGAGUUCGGUAGGGGGAGACUGGAAUUCCUGGUGUAGCGGUGAAAUGACGCAGAUAUCGGGAGGAACACCGGUGGCGAAGG